GACGAACGCUGGCGGCGUGCCUAAUACAUGCAAGUAGGACGCAGUUGCGAACGGGUGAGUAACGCGUAUGUAACUGCCUAUUUGAGGGGGAUAACUAUUGGAAACGCUAGCUAAUACCGCAUACUAGUAGAUGGACCUGCGGUGUAUUAGGUAGUAGGUUGGGUAAUGGCCUACCUAGGGAACGAUACAUAGCCGACCGUGGAAGGUGAUCGGCCACACUGGGAAUGGGACACGGGCCAUACUCCGACGGGGGGCAGCAGUAGGGAAUCUUUGGCAAUGGGGGGAAAGCUGGCCGAGGAACGCCGCGGGAGUGGAGAAGGGUUUCGGAUCGUAAAGCUCUGUUGUUAAGGAAGCGGUACUUAACCAGAAAGGGACGGCUAACUACGUGCCAGCAGCCGCGGUAAUUC
rnacentral:rRNA from 1 species